UACGGGGGGGGCAAGCGUUGUUCGGAAUUACUAGGCGUAAAGGGCUCGUAGGUGGCCAACUAAGUCAGACGUGAAAUCCCUCGGCUUAACCGGGGAACUGCGUCUGAUACUGGAUGGCUUGAGUUCGGGAGAGGGAUGCGGAAUUCCAGGUGUAGCGGUGAAAUGCGUAGAUAUCUGGAGGAACACCGGUGGCGAAGGCGGCAUCCUGGACCGACACUGACACUGAGGAGCGAAAGCCAGGGGAGCAAACGGG
rnacentral:rRNA from 1 species